AACCAUAGAAACCUGCGGAGUACCUGCGGAGGGAUCAUUACACAAUACAAUAUGAAGGCUGUCCGCAGCUGGAGUAUUUUAUUACCCUUGUCUUUUGCGCACUUGUUGUUUCCUGGGCGGGUUCGCUCGCCACCAGGACCACCAAAUAAACCUUUUUUAUGCAGUUGCAAUCAGCGUCAGUACAAACAAUGUAAAUCAUUUACAACUUUUAGCAACGGAUCUCAGAUCGGAAGAGCACAC
rnacentral:misc_RNA from 1 species